rnacentral:RNase_P_RNA from 1 species
UAAGUAGAACAAAUAAUCGCGGCCGCAGACGAAUGCGGGUGAGGAAAGUCCGGGCUUCACAGGGCAGGAUGCCGGAUAACGUCCGGUGGAGGCGACUCCAAGGCUAGUGCAACAGAAAUAUACCGCCAAGUGUGAGCAGAAAUUGCCACAUUGCGAAAUGCGAAGCAUUUCGUAGUGAUGUGUGGAGCGUUCACAGUGAUACGCGGAGCGUUCACAGUGAUACGCGGAGCGUUCACUUGGUAAGGGUGGAACGGCAGUGUAAGAGACUACCGUCCGGCCGGUAACGACCGGAGCCAUGUAAACCCCAUCCGAAGCAAGACCAAAUAGAAAGCGACAGGCUUGCCCGGCCUGCUUUCAGGUGGGUCGCUUGACAUUAUUGGCAACAAUAAUGCUAGAUAGAUGAUUAUUCACGACAUAACCCGGCUUAUCGUUCUGCUUAUGGC